rnacentral:rRNA from 1 species
UUGGAGGGCAAGUCUGGUGCCCGCAGCCGCGGUAAUUCCAGCUCCAAUAGCGUAUAUUAAAGUUGUUGCAGUUAAAAAGCUCGUAGUUGAAUUUCGAGACCGGUUUACUGGUCGUGCUUUUGUACGUACUGGUAUUAUUGGUUUCUCCUUUCUGACGAACUAUAAUGCCAUUAAUUUGGUGUUUUAGGGAAUCAGGACUGUUACUUUGAAAAAAUUAGAGUGUUUAAAGCAGGCUCACGCUCGAAUACAUUAGCAUGGAAUAACGGAAUAGGACGUUUGAUUCUAUUUUGUCGGUUUCUAGGAUCGACGUAAUGAUUAAUAGGGAUAGUUGGGGGCAUUAGUAUUCAAUUGUCAGAGGUGAAAUUCUUGGAUUUAUUGAAGACUAACUACUGCGAAAGCAUUUGCCAAGGAUGUUUUCAUUAAUCAAGAACGAAAGUUAGGGGAUCGAAGACGAUCAGAUACCGUCGUAGUCUUAACCAUAAACUAUGCCGACUAGGGAUCGGAUGAUGUUAAUUUUUUAAUGACUCAUUCGGCGCCUUACGGGAAAC